UACGGGGGGGGUAAGCGUUGUUCGGAAUUACUGGGCGUAAAGGGCUCGUAGGCGGCCAACUAAGUCAUACGUGAAAUCCCUCGGCUUAACCGGGGAACUGCGUCUGAUACUGGAUGGCUUGAGUUCGGGAGAGGGAUGCGGAAUUCCAGGUGUAGCGGCGAAAUGCGUAGAUAUCUGGAGGAACACCGGUGGCGAAGGCGGCAUCCUGGACCGAUACUGACGCUGAGGAGCGAAAGCCAGGGGAGCAAACGGG
rnacentral:rRNA from 1 species